AGCCAUAUUACGUUGAAACACCGCUUCUUGUAGGAUCACCGACGUUAAGCAGCGUCGAGCCUCGUCAGUACGUAGAUGAGUGUCCGCUUGGGAAUACCAG